rnacentral:snRNA from 1 species
GUGCUUGCUUCGGCAGCACAUAUACUAAAAUUAGAAUGAUACCGAGAAGAUUAGCAUGGCUCCUGCGCAAGGAUGACACGCAAAUUCAUGAAGCGUUGCAUAUUUUU